rnacentral:rRNA from 1 species
GCGAGUGAAGCGGCAACAGCUCAAAUUUGAAAGCUGGCUCCGGCCCGCAUUGUAAUUUGCAGAGGAUGCUUUUGGCGAGGUGCCUUCCGAGUUCCCUGGAACGGGACGCCAUAGAGGGUGAGAGCCCCGUAUGGAUGGACACCAGACCUGUGUAAAGCUCCUUCAACGAGUCGAGUAGUUUGGGAAUGCUGCUCUAAAUGGGAGGUAAAUCUCUUCUAAAGCUAAAUACCGGCCAGAGACCGAUAGCGCACAAGUAGAGUGAUCGAAAGAUGAAAAGCACCUUGAAAAGGGGGUUAAACAGUACGUGAAAUUGUUGAAAGGGAAGCGCUUGUGACCAGACUUGCGCCGGGCAGCUCAUCAGGGGUUCUCCCCUGUGCACUCUGCCCGGCUCAGGCCAGCAUCGGUUCUCGUGGGAGGAUAAGAACAGUGGGAACGUGGCCCCCUCUCGGGGGGGUGUUAUAGCCCAUUGUACGAUACUCUCGUGGGGACCGAGGUUCGCGCUCCGCAAGGAUGCUGGC